UACGGGGGGGGCAAGCGUUGUUCGGAAUUAUUGGGCGUAAAGAGCUCGUAGGCGGCUUGUCGCGUCGACUGUGAAAACCCGCGGCUCAACCGUGUGGCUUGCAGUUGAUACGGGCAGGCUAGAGUUCGGUAGAGGAGACUGGAAUUCCUGGUGUAGCGGUGAAAUGCGCAGAUAUCAGGAGGAACACCGGUGGCGAAGGCGGGUCUCUGGGCCGAUACUGACGCUGAGGAGCGAAAGCGUGGGGAGCGAACAGG
rnacentral:rRNA from 1 species